rnacentral:rRNA from 1 species
AACGAACGCUGGCGGCAUGCCUAACACAUGCAAGUCGAACGAGACCUUCGGGUCUAGUGGCGCACGGGUGCGUAACGCAUGGGAACCUGCCCUUAGGUUCGGAAUAACUCCCCGAAAGGGGUGCUAAUACCGGAUAAUGUCUUCGGACCAAAGAUUUAUCGCCUUUGGAUGGGCCCGCGUUGGAUUAGCUAGUUGGUAGGGUAAAAGCCUACCAAGGCAACGAUCCAUAGCUGGUCUGAGAGGAUGAUCAGCCACACUGGGACUGAGACACGGCCCAGACUCCUACGGGAGGCAGCAGUGGGGAAUAUUGGACAAUGGGCGAAAGCCUGAUCCAGCAAUGCCGCGUGAGUGAUGAAGGCCUUAGGGUUGUAAAGCUCUUUUACCCGGGAUGAUAAUGACAGUACCGGGAGAAUAAGCUCCGGCUAACUCCGUG